ACACCUUGGCAAUACAGGGUGACAUUCAGAGUUCCCUCUAAGGUGCACACAUGCAUGGCCGUACACAGGUAAAAGUUUGGCUGCACACAAACUUUUUCAGGCCCUGCACCUGCCAGGAAUGGAGCUGGGCUGCAGCGUGGGACACUUAGUAAAGUUGAAGACAAGACCUGAUCUGAAGACCUUCCACCUAAGCAGACAACAAGGAAUAUGAGAUGGAAGAAAAAAGAACUCCCAGUGAAGCCAGUGUAUGCUUGAGGGACUUGAAGAACAAAGGAUUGGACCUUCCCAUCCACUAGAAGCAUUUCUGCAGGUACCAGAGUUACAGCACAGCAGCUGAAGUGUGAUCUAAGACCGUUUGUGAGCACUGCAAAAAAACCUGUAAGACACAAAUACUAUCUUUCAUUGUAUUUGAGCAUAUUAUGCUUUGCAUUAAAAUCACAUGAGUAGGAAAUUGAUAUGCUUUCUAAUUAAUGGGAGUAAGGAUAAAUUCUCUGCAAUCUAAAAAGGUGCCUUAUCACAGCUUAAGGAAAACAUCAUUUUAAAUUAUAAAAGCUAGAAUGUUGAAACAGUCCUAUGUACUGGUCUAUAUACAUUUGAUAUUCAGAAGGAGCAGAGGAGAUGUAGCUGAGCAGAGCCCUCAGCUCUUUAAAUUAAUAAAAUAUUAAUUCAUGGGUAAA